UGAAGUUAAAUAAGGUUAAUUUCUGGGUGGCUGAGAGGUGUUGUCUUUUUGUAAUUGCAUCAUGGCAAAAGCUCUUCUUGCCUUAUUUCAAUAACAAGAAGCCAGGUAAGGCGAAUUAGCUGAACCACUGCAAAUCACUGCUUUUUAGAGGGGGGAGUAAUGUAUCCUUUCCUUGAAAGUAUGGAAACUGCAAAAAUAAUCCUGCUGUAUGCUGACCUGUUGCUGUUCAUUUUGUAGCUUCCACAAGGCUUUGUAUGUAUUUUAAGUGCCUGCAUUUUUUUAGAUGUGAGGCUAAAGCCACAAAGGGUCUUGGGCUCAGUACUGCAAUGCUUGACUCUUAGGGGCUUUUUCAGCAUAAGAAACCCUUAGCUCCACAAAAGCCAGCAUCUCUGCAUCUCUGUGUCCAAGGGACCUACACUUCUGCUUCUUUCAAGGGUUUUGGAAGAUGACCACAGGUUUAACCAUUCCGGUGCACUGAACAACUUCUGCGCUGCUGUGAGCUUGACUCCUAGCCUCAAGAUCUCACCCUCCCUAGUGUUGUCUGGAUAUCAAUUUUUUCAACCCCCAGUCCUUCCUCACAGGUAGGAAGCACAUCACAACUCAUUAGUAAUUUACUGCUACAGUAAUUUUUAUAAUUACUGCCAGGAGGCCUCAUUAAAUUUGAUCUAAUGAAUAAAUAUUGUAUUUUUCAACGUGAUUACCAGAACAGCUUAAGCUGUGUGCCAUAAACAAUUAUUUUCCUCAAUAUGCAGUAUGUCAGUGAGUAUUGAUUUUUAUUUUGUAAAGAAUUUACUGUAUUUCUAUCCAUGGCUAUUAAGUAAUAAAUAGCCAACCCUCUGAAGCCUCAAUUGCCACAGAGCAGAUGGCAAAACAGAAUUUGGGGUAUCUGUUUCAAAAAGUAAAAGAAUGCACAUUAGUGAAGAUAAAGGGUUUGUCUGGGGGUUAAGAAGGAGUGUUCCAAUGUGAAUGUCUCUCCUAGCCCUCAAGAAAGCAGCCCUCUAGUCUGGAGCCUCUGAUGUGUAAGCCUGUGAUAUCAAAAAAAUUUAGGAUACAACAAAGCAUUUUAUCUCAGAGAACUAACACAUGAACAAAUAUUGAUGCCUUAUGUUUCAUUUGCUUUUAGAGCAACUGUUCAGAUGGAACAUUCUUCUAACAGGUUUAAGAAAAAUAAAGAAAUAUACAAUAUGCUGAACAUGAACCUAUAGUUCAAACCAAAGCUGCAAAUUAUAUUUACUUUCCAGCAUAAUUUACUCCUUUUUUCCAGCAAUUGCAGACUUUAGCACACAAAACUGUAACACGGCAGUGAACUGUAACAAAAGGCAUGCAUUGGCAAUGUCUUAGGACAUACAUCAGAGGAGCUCAGGACCAGGAGAAAACCCAUUAUAUUUUUGUCAUGUAAGAAUGUUUUCUGCACUUCCAGCUAUACUGUUCCAUAUUAGAUAGAUUUAAUUCCCUAGCUAAAGCACCGCUUAAAUAACUUUAAAGUAAAUUUCUCUACAUUAAUAAAUAAAACUGCUGGUCUGUGCUAUCAGGUUUCUUUGUUUAAACAAGAC
ensembl:lncRNA